UACGGGGGGGGCAAGCGUUGUUCGGAAUUACUGGGCGUAAAGGGUGCGUAGGUGGGCAAGUAAGUCAGUGGUGAAAUCUCCGGGCUUAACCCGGAAACUGCCAUUGAUACUAUUUGUCUUGAAUACUGUGGAGGUCAGCGGAAUAUGUCAUGUAGCGGUGAAAUGCUUAGAUAUGACAUAGAACACCAAUUGCGAAGGCAGCUGGCUACACAAAUAUUGACACUGAGGCACGAAAGCGUGGGGAUCAAACAGG
rnacentral:rRNA from 1 species